UACGUAGGGUGCAGGCGUUAAUCGGAAUUACUGGGCGUAAAGCGUGCGCAGGCGGUCUGCUAAGACAGGUGUGAAAUCCCCGGGCUUAACCUGGGAACUGCGCUUGUUACUGGCAGGCUGGAGUGUGGCAGAGGGGGGUGGAAUUCCACGUGUAGCAGUGAAAUGCGUAGAGAUGUGGAGGAACACCGAUGGCGAAGGCAGCCCCCUGGGCUAACACUGACGCUCAUGCACGAAAGCGCGGGGAGCAAACAGG
rnacentral:rRNA from 1 species